rnacentral:misc_RNA from 1 species
CGCACAUUGCGCCCUUCGGUAUUCCGUUGGGCAUGCCUGUUCGAGCGUCAUUAGAAACUUCAAGCUCAGCUUGGUGUUGGGUGCUUGUCCCCUCACGGUGGACUCACCUCAAAUGCAUUGGCGGCCGGUAUAUUGGCUACAGCGCAGCACAUCGCGUCUGGCGUCUUGAUACUGGUCCUCCAGAAGCUACCUCUUUUGCUUGACCUCGGAUCAGGUAGGGAUACCCGCUGAACUUAA